AAACAGCUUCGACGCUUGGAGACGUUCCUCGACGUGGAAGGAGGUUUAAAACUUCUGGGAUAGUCAAUCCACGGUCGCCGUAAAGUCUUGUCGAUUGCUGUAUAUACCACGGAGGUCAAGAUCCAGCAUACUUUCACCGCCUGGCGGAGGUUGCGGGGGCGGUUGAGUACCUUGCGUAUCUCUCAGAUGCUCGGCACUUCCAGCCUUGAAUUUCGACGCGUAUCAAUUCACUGACAGGCAAACAGGAGCCACGAACAAAAAAGAACGUCGAGAGAAUUCGAGUUCAUCAUGGUAAAGAAUAACCAGUAGAAUUG